AUAUCAAUAAGCGGAGGAAAAGAAACCAACAGGGAUUGCCUUAGUAACGGCGAGUGAAGCGGCAACAGCUCAAAUUUGAAAUCUGGCUCUUUCAGGGUCCGAGUUGUAAUUUGUAGAAGAUGCUUCGGGUGUGGUACCGGUCUAAGUUCCUUGGAACAGGACGUCAUAGAGGGCGAGAAUCCCGUAUGUGACUGGUCACCUUCGCUCAUGUGAAGCUCUUUCGACGAGUCGAGUUGUUUGGGAAUGCAGCUCAAAAUGGGUGGUAAAUUUCAUCUAAAGCUAAAUAUUGGCCAGAGACCGAUAGCGCACAAGUAGAGUGAUCGAAAGAUGAAAAGCACUUUGGAAAGAGAGUUAAACAGUACGUGAAAUUGUUGAAAGGGAAGCGCUUGCAACCAGACUUGCACGUAGUUAAUCAUCCGGGGCUCUCCCUGGUGCACUUGGCUACGUUCAGGCCAGCAUCGGUUUCGGUGGUUGGAUAAAGGCCUAGGGAAUGUGGCUCUCUUCGGGGAGUGUUAUAGCCCUAGGUGCAAUGCAGCCCACUGGGACCGAGGACCGCGCUUCGGCUAGGAUGCUGGCGUAAUGGUUGUAAGCGA
rnacentral:rRNA from 1 species